rnacentral:rRNA from 1 species
UAGGUGGGGUAAUGGCUCACCUAGGCGACGAUCCCUAGCUGGUCUGAGAGGAUGACCAGCCACACUGGAACUGAGACACGGUCCAGACUCCUACGGGAGGCAGCAGUGGGGAAUAUUGCACAAUGGGCGCAAGCUGAUGCAGCCAUGCCGCGUGUAUGAAGAAGGCCUUCGGGUUGUAAAGUACUUUCAGCGGGGAGGAAGGUGUUGAGGUUAAUAACCUCAGCAAUUGACGUUACCCGCAGAAGAAGCACCGGCUAACUCCGUGCCAGCAGCCGCGGUAAUACGGAGGGUGCAAGCGUUAAUCGGAAUUACUGGGCGUAAAGCGCACGCAGGCGGUCUGUCAAGUCGGAUGUGAAAUCCCCGGGCUCAACCUGGGAACUGCAUUCGAAACUGGCAGGCUAGAGUCUUGUAGAGGGGGGUAGAAUUCCAGGUGUAGCGGUGAAAUGCGUAGAGAUCUGGAGGAAUACCGGUGGCGAAGGCGGCCCCCUGGACAAAGACUGACGCUCAGGUGCGAAAGCGUGGGGGAGCAAACAGGAUUAGAUACCCUGGUAGUCCACGCCGUAAACGAUGUCGACUUGGAGGUUGUGCCCUUGAGGCGUGGCUUCCGGAGCUAACGCGUUAAGUCGACCGCCUGGGGAGUACGGCCGCAAGGUUAAAACUCAAAUGAAUUGACGGGGGCCCGCACAAGCGGUGGAGCAUGUGGUUUAAUUCGAUGCAACGCGAAGAACCUUACCUACUCUUGACAUCCASVGAAYUURGCARAGAUGCUUURKUGCCUUCGGAACBCUGAGACAGGUGCUGCAUUGCUGUCGUCAGCUCGUGUUGUGAAAUGUUGGGUUAAUUCCCGCAACGAGCGCAACCCUUAUCCUUUGUUUCCAGCGGUCCUUCCGGGAACUCAAAGAGACUUCCAGUUAUAAACUGGAGGAAGGUGGGGAUGACGUCAAAUCAUCAUGGCCCUUACGAGUAGGGCUACACACGUGCUACAAUCGCGCAUACAAAUAGAAGCGACA